GAUGAAGAACGUAGCAAAAUGCGAUACUUGGUGUGAAUUGCAGAAUCCCGUGAACCAUCGAGUUUUUGAACGCAAGUUGCGCCCGAAGCCUUUUGGCCGAGGGCACGUCUGCCUGGGCGUCACGCAUCGCGUCGCCCCCCACAAUUCUCCGUAAAGGGAACGUGUGUUUUGGGGGCGGAUAUUGGUCUCCCGUGCUCAUGGCGUGGUUGGCCGAAAUAGGAGUCCUUUCGAUGGACGCACGAACUAGUGGUGGUCGUAAAAACCCUCGUCUUUUGUUUCGUGCUGUUGCUCGCAAGGUAAACUCUUUAACAACCCCAAUGUGUCGUCUCUUGACGACGCUUCGACCGCGACCCCAGGUCAGGCGGGACUACCCGCUGAGUUUAAGCAUAUCAAUAAGCGGAGGA
rnacentral:misc_RNA from 1 species